UAGUCCACGCCGUAAACGAUGAGUGCUAGAUAUCGGAAGGUUUACUUUCGGUUUCACAGCUAACGCGUUAAGCACUCCGCCUGGGGAGUACGGUCGCAAGAUUAAAACUCAAAGGAAUUGACGGGGGCUCGCACAAGUGGUGGAGCAUGCGGUUUAAUUCGAUGCUACGCGAAAAACCUUACCAACCCUUGACAUGGUGAUCGCGGAUUCUAGAGAUAGAAUCCUUCAGUUCGGCUGGAUCACACACAGGUGUUGCAUGGCUGUCGUCAGCUCGUGUCGUGAGGUGUUGGGUUAAGUCCCGCAACGAGCGCAACCCUUAUCCUUAUUUGCCAGCACGUAAUGGUGGGAACUCUAAGGAGACUGCCGGUGACAAACCGGAGGAAGGUGGGGAUGACGUCAAGUCAUCAUGGCCCUUACGGCCAGGGCUACACACGUGCUACAAUGGUAGGUACAGAGGGUUGCCAACCCGCGAGGGGGAGCGUAAUCUCAGAAAGCCUAUCUCAGUCCGGA
rnacentral:rRNA from 1 species